UAGAGUCCAGUGUGUGGGUAGAGUCCAGUGUGUGGGUAGAGUCCAGUGUGUGGGUAGAGUCCAGUGUGUGGGUAGAGUCCAGUGUGUGGGUAGAGUCCAGUGUGUUGAGUCCAGUGUGUGGGUAGAGUCCAGUGUGUGGAUAGAGUCCAGUGUGUGGUAGAGUCCAGUGUGUGGGUAGAGUCCAGUGUGUGGGUAGAGUCCUGUGUGUGGGUAGAGUCCAGUGUGUGGGUAGAGUCCAGUGUGUGGAUAGAGUCCAUGUGUGGGUAGAGUCCAGUGUGUGGGUAGAGUCCAGUGUGUGGGUAGAGUCCUGUGUGUGGGUAGAGUCCAGUGUGUGGGUAGAGUCCAGUGUGUGGGUAGAGUCCAGUGUGUGGGUAGAGUCCAGUGUGUGGGUAGAGUCCAGUGUGUGGGUAGAGUCCAGUGUGUGGGUAGAGUCCAGUGUGUGGGUAGAGUCCAGUGUGUGGAUAGAGUCCAGUGUGUGGGUAGAGUCCAGUGUGUGGGUAGAGUCCAGUGUGUGGGUAGAGUCCAGUGUGUGGGUAGAGUCCAGUGUGUGGGUAGAGUCCAGUGUGUGGGUAGAGUCCAGUGUGUGGGUAGAGUCCAGUGUGUGGGUAGAGUCCAGUGUGUGGGUAGAGUCGAGUGUGUGAAUAGAGUCCAGUGUGUGGGUAGAGUCCAGUGUGUGGGUAGAGUCCAGUGUGUGGGUAGAGUCCAGUGUGUUGGUAGAGUCCAGUGUGUGGGUAGAGUCCAGUGUGUGGGUAGAGUCCAGUGUGUGAGUAGAGU
rnacentral:lncRNA from 1 species